rnacentral:rRNA from 1 species
CACGUAAGAGACGAGCGUUAUCCGGAUUUACUGGGCGUAAAGCGCGGGUAGGUGGGGUUUUAAGUCAUGCGUGAAAGCUCUCGGCUUAACCGGGAGAGGUCGUGUGAAACUGGAACUCUCAGAGGUAGGUAGAGGCAGAUGGAAUUCCGGGUGGAGUGGUGAAAUGCGUAGAGAUCCGGAGGAACACCAGUGGCGAAGGCGAUCUGCUAGGCCUGACCUGACACUCAGACGCGACAGCAUGGGGAGCGAACGGG